rnacentral:rRNA from 1 species
GCACUUGGUGUUACUGCGAAGGGGGGACGGAGAAGGCUAUGUUGGCCGGGCGACGGUUGUCCCGGUUUAAGCGUGUAGGCUGGUUUUCCAGGCAAAUCCGGAAAACCAAGGCUGAGGCGUGAUGACGAGGCACUACGGUGCUGAAGCAACAAAUGCCCUGCUUCCAGGAAAAGCCUCUAAGCAUCAGGUAACAUCAAAUCGUACCCCAAACCGACACAGGUGGUCAGGUAGAGAAUACCAAGGCGCUUGAGAGAACUCGGGUGAAGGAACUAGGCAAAAUGGUGCCGUAACUUCGGGAGAAGGCACGCUGAUAUGUAGGUGGAGCGACUUGCUCGUGGAGCUGAAAUCAGUCGAAGAUACCAGCUGGCUGCAACUGUUUAUUAAAAACACAGCACUGUGCAAACACGAAAGUGGACGUAUACGGUGUGACGCCUCCCCGGUGCCGGAAGGUUAAUUGAUGGGGUCAGCGCAAGCGAAGCUCUUGAUCGAAGCCCCGGUAAACGGCGGCCGUAACUAUAACGGUCCUAAGGUAGCGAAAUUCCUUGUCGGGUAAGUUCCGACCUGCACGAAUGGCGUAAUGAUGGCCAGGCUGUCUCCACCCGAGACUCAGUGAAAUUGAACUCGCUGUGAAGAUGCAGUGUACCCGCGGCAAGACGGAAAGACCCCGUGAACCUUUACUAUAGCUUGACACUGAACAUUGAGCCUUGAUGUGUAGGAUAGGUGGGAGGCUUUGAAGUGUGGACGCCAGUCUGCAUGGAGCCGACCUUGAAAUACCACCCUUUAAUGUUUGAUGUUCUAACGUGGACCCGUGAUCCGGGUUGCGGACAGUGUCUGGUGGGUAGUUUGACUGGGGCGGUCUCCUCCUAAAGAGUAACGGAGGAGCACGAAGGUUGACUAAUCCUGGUCGGACAUCAGGAGGUUAGUGCAAUGGCAUAAGCCAGCUUGACUGCGAGCGUGACGGCGCGAGCAGGUGCGAAAGCAGGUCAUAGUGAUCCGGUGGUUCUGAAUGGAAGGGCCAUCGUUCAACGGAUAAAAGGUACUCCGGGGAUAACAGGCUGAUACCGCCCAAGAGUUCAUAUCGACGGCGGUGUUUGGCACCUCGAUGUCGGCUCAUCACAUCCUGGAGCUGAAGUAGGUCCCAAGGGUAUGGCUGUUCGCCAUUUAAAGUGGUACGCGAGCUGGGUUUAGAACGUCGUGAGACAGUUCGGUCCCUAUCUGCCGUGGGCGCUGGAGAACUGAGGGGGGCUGCUCCUAGUACGAGAGGACCGGAGUGGACGCAUCACUGGUGUUCGGGUUGUCAUGCCAAUGGCACUGCCCGGUAGCUAAAUGCGGAAGAGAUAAGUGCUGAAAGCAUCUAAGCACGAAACUUGCCCCGAGAUGAGUUCUCCCUGACUCCUUGAGAGUCCUGAAGGAACGUUGAAGACGACGACGUUGAUAGGCCGGGUGUGUAAGCGCAGCGAUGCGUUGAGCUAACCGGUACUAAUGAACC